rnacentral:rRNA from 1 species
UACGUAGGGUGCGAGCGUUGUCCGGAAUUAUUGGGCGUAAAGGGCUCGUAGGCGGUCUGUUGCGUCGGGAGUGAAAACUCAGGGCUUAACCCUGAGCCUGCUUCCGAUACGGGCAGACUAGAGGUAUGCAGGGGAGAACGGAAUUCCUGGUGUAGCGGUGAAAUGCGCAGGAUAUCAGGAGGAACACCGGUGGCGAAGGCGGUUCUCUGGGCAUUACCUGACGCUGAGGAGCGAAAGUGUGGGGAGCGAACAGG